UACGUAGGGUGCAAGCGUUGUCCGGAAUUAUUGGGCGUAAAGAGCUCGUAGGCGGUCUGUCGCGUCGGCUGUGCAAACUCGGGGCUCAACUCCGAGCUUGCAGUCGAUACGGGCAGGCUAGAGUUCGGCAGGGGAGACUGGAAUUCCUGGUGUAGCGGUGAAAUGCGCAGAUAUCAGGAAGAACACCCGUGGCGAAGGCGGCUCUCUGGGACGGUACUGACGCUGAGACGCGAAAGCGUGGGGAGCGAACAGG
rnacentral:rRNA from 1 species